rnacentral:rRNA from 1 species
UACGUAGGGUGCAAGCGUUAAUCGGAAUUACUGGGCGUAAAGCGUGCGCAGGCGGUCUUGUAAGACAGAGGUGAAAUCCCCGGGCUUAACCUGGGAACUGCCUUUGUGACUGCAAGGCUUGAGUGCGGCAGAGGGGGAUGGAAUUCCGCGUGUAGCAGUGAAAUGCGUAGAUAUGCGGAGGAACACCGAUGGCGAAGGCAGCCCCCUGGGUCAAGAUUGACGCUCAUGCACGAAAGCGUGGGGAGCAAACAGG